rfam:Brassica napus, WGS project CCCW01000000 data, contig: 23876
UCACUUACCUAGACAGGGUCAACUCGUAAACAAAAAGAUGAGUGACCUAGACUAGGGACUUCAUUGCACCUUAAAGAAGGGAGCUUAGCCUAAGGUCUUCUCAGGUAGAGAGCCUGCGUCAUUAUCUGUGGAAUAGAAGGUUUUCGUUCGCACAGCCCCUAC